ACCCAUAAGUAGAGGGACCCCUCCUUCCCCAGUCAACUGCUCUUCCACUUGGCUUCUGGUACCUCCAGGAUUCCCACCAACCUCCAGCCAUGAAGAUCUUCUGCCUCCUCUCUCUCACCUUCCUCUUCUUGAUGCUGCUGGCUCCAGAUUUCACAAGAGCCCAAAAUUGUGAUCAGAGAUGUCGACGGCAGAGUGGGAGACUGCAAGCAAGGUGCUAUCCACCCCAAAGGCAACUUUUUAAGUGUGGUGGCCAAGCCUGUUGCCGCCGUUAAGGCGUGUUUCUCUACAGAUCUCCUGUGCAAGACCUCUGGUGAAAGGAAGACCUCCCUGCUCUCCUCUGAUGUGCAGCUGCCUCGACUAGACCCCCCAUCUCUGCUGGGGAAGAAACCGCUUUGCUUGAUGCUGCUGAAAGCGAUUCUGGGAAGGAGUCAAGAGGGAGCCAUCCUGUCUCCCUGUCUACUCAUGAGUAAGCCCCACUGUAGCCAGUGGGUCCCGACUCAUGAGUAAGAGGGAUCAGGAUUGGAGCUCGUAAUUGCUUUGCCUGAAAAAUGCUUUAGCUUCUUCUUUUUAAUAAAUGCAAGCAUUGGAAA